AUGCAGCCCAAGAUCACUAGUGCUUUGGAUCCUAAUUCAAGAGAUGCACUUGGCCUAGCUUGGUCCAAGUUUUUUCAUGCCAAUGAUAUUGCUGGACGUAAAGCUGAUUGCCCAUACUUCCGAGCUGCUGUGAAGAUCAGUCAACAAUUAGGGCCUGCUCCUAUACCAACCGCGAAGGAGAUUGAUGGGAAAUAUUUGGAGGCUAACUAUGAUGAAGCUACUUCCUUUCUUCAAAAAUUUAAACAAGAUUGGAAAAACUUCGGUGUGACUCUUAUGUGUGACUCUUGGACUGGUCCAACAGGAAUGAGCCUCAUAAACUUCAUGGUAUAUUGUAAUACACGAAUGUUCUUCCUCAAUACCAUUGAUGCAUCCGGUCAGACUCAGAAUUCAGACUUUAUCUAUAGAGAGAUUGAGAAGGUUGUAGAAGAGAUAGGCCAUGAACAUAUUGUUCAAAUAGUAACCGAUAAUGGGUCCAACUAUAAGAAAGCUUGCAAAACCCUUAUAGAAGAACCAAAAUACUCUCAUAUUGUUUGGCAACCGUGUGCUGCCCACACCGUCAAUCUUAUGUUAAAAGAUAUAGCCAAAUUUCCCGAGCUUGAUGUGAUAGUCAAGAGUGCCAAGACAAUCUGUAGGUUCUUGCAUAAGCACAAUAACCUACAUGAUAACAUGAAGAACAUAGGUGGUGAACUAAUUAGACCAAAUGCCACCCGUUUUGGGACUGUCUUCAUGUUCCUUGAGAGUUACCAUUUGAAGAAAGAUAAAUUUAGGGAGUGGAUGGUUUCGACUGAUUGGAAGGAGUGUCAGUGGAGGUAUGAGCCUGGAUAUGUGUUUGCUGAAGAAUGUUUGUCUAGUAAUGUUUGGUGGAACACGCUAGAGUGGGUAUUGGGUUCGUUGAGGCCACUUUAUAAGGCCAUGAGGUAUGCUGAUACACAGAAACAAUGCACUCUUUCUGGAUUCAAGAAAAGUAUGAUGCUCGCUAUACAAGGGAUGGAAGCACAUCUAGGCCCUACAUCAAGGUUGUACCUUAGUUUCAUGCGCAAGGUGGGCAAGAGGAUAGAGGCAAUGGAAGAAGAUACAUUUAUGGUUGCAGCUACUGUCCUUGAUCCAUAUACACAUUACAAGCUCAACCUUUGCAACCAUACAGAUUAUGCUACCUCACUAACAGAUGCGAUAGCGAAGAUAUUAGAUCCAAGGAGUGCUCUUUCAGCCACUGAUGAAGUAAGUAAGUUUAGGGAGUGCCAAGGGAGGUUUGGGACCAGAUUAGCAGAAGAAGCUGCGGCGAGAAUGGAGCCAAGUAAGACAUGGUCCUUUAGUUUUAGAAUUUUCAUCUCCUUUUUGUUUGCAAUUCUAAAAAUUUCAUUGGUGAUAUCUUGCAGCCCAAUGGUGGUUUCAAUUUGGAGGGGAUGUUCCUGCAUUGCAGAAGUGUGCAAUGAGAAUUUGCUCACAAUGUGUCUCAUCAAGUGGGUGCGAGAGGAAUUGGAGCGCCUUUGCUUUGGUGCACACAAAGCAAAGAAAUCGUCUUUUAUAUGA
rnacentral:rRNA from 1 species